GACGGAGGAUGCAAGCGUUAUCCGGAAUGAUUGGGCGUAAAGCGUCCGCAGGUGGCCGUUCAAGUCUGCUGUCAAAGACCGGGGCUUAACUUCGGAAAGGCAGUGGAAACUGAACAGCUAGAGUAUGGUAGGGGCAGAGGUAAUUCCUGGUGUAGCGGUGAAAUGCGUAGAGAUCAGGAAGAACAUCGGUGGCGAAGGCGCUCUGCUGGACCAUAACUGACACUCAGGGACGAAAGCUAGGGGAGCGAAUGGG
rnacentral:rRNA from 1 species